UCUAGUCAGGUUUCUCAGAACAUACCCUGUCUCCUGGAUCUAGUCAGGUAUCUCAGAACAUACCCUGUCUCCUGGAUCUAGUCAGGUUUCUCAGAACAUACCCUGUCUCCUGGAUCUAGUCAGGUUUCUCAGAACAUACCCUGUCUCCUGGAUCUAGUCAGGUUUCUCAGAACAUACCCUGUCUCCUGGAUCUAGUCAGGUUUCUCAGAACAUACCCUGUCUCCUGGAUCUAGUCAGGUUUCUCAGAACAUACCCUGUCUCCUGGGUCUAGUCAGGUAUCUCAGAACAUACCCUGUCUCCAGGAUCUAGUCAGGUUUCUCAGAACAUACCCUGUCUCCUGGAUCUAGUCAGGUUUCUCAGAACAUACCCUGUCUCCUGGAUCGAGUCAGGUUUCUCAGAACAUACCCUGUCUCCUGGAUCUAGUCAGGUUUCUCAGAACAUACCCUGUCUCCUGGAUCUAGUCAGGUUUCUCAGAACAUACCCUGUCUCCCGGAUCUAGUCAGGUUU